rnacentral:rRNA from 1 species
AUUGAACGCUGGCGGCAUGCCUAACACAUGCAAGUCGAACGAGAUCUUCGGGUCUAGUGGCGCACGGGUGCGUAACGCGUGGGAAUCUGCCCUUUGGUUCGGAAUAACAGUUGGAAACGACUGCUAAUACCGGAUGAUGACGAAAGUCCAAAGAUUUAUCGCCAGAGGAUGAGCCCGCGUAGGAUUAGCUAGUUGGUGUGGUAAAGGCGCACCAAGGCGACGAUCCUUAGCUGGUCUGAGAGGAUGAUCAGCCACACUGGGACUGAGACACGGCCCAGACUCCUACGGGAGGCAGCAGUGGGGAAUAUUGGACAAUGGGCGAAAGCCUGAUCCAGCAAUGCCGCGUGAGUGAUGAAGGCCUUAGGGUUGUAAAGCUCUUUUACCCGGGAUGAUAAUGACAGUACCGGGAGAAUAAGCUCCGGCUAACUCCGUGCCAGCAGCCGCAGUAA